CUGCGGCAGCGAACGUAUCACCCAAGACAACUUUACACAGUUGACGCCUGACGGAGCGAAGCGACGUCAAAGCGUUUUACAACGUCGAGUUGGCUUAGGGAUACGUUCGUUGGGUAGGGGAGCGUUCUGUAAGCCGUUGAAGGUGUGUCGUGAGGCAUGCUGGAGGUAUCAGAAGUGCGAAUGCUGACAUAAGUAACGAUAAAGCGGGUGAAAAGCCCGCUCGCCGGAAGACCAAGGGUUCCUGUCCAACGUUAAUCGGGGCAGGGUGAGUCGACCCCUAAGGCGAGGCCGAAAGGCGUAGUCGAUGGGAAACGGGUUAAUAUUCCCGUACUUGGUGUUACUGCGAAGGGGGGACGGAGAAGGCUAUGUUGGCCGGGCGACGGUUGUCCCGGUUUAAGCGUGUAGGUGUGUGUUCCAGGUAAAUCCGGUUCACUUUAACACUGAGGCGUGAUGACGAGGCACCACGGUGCUGAAGCAACAAAUGCCCUGCUUCCAGGAAAAGCCUCUAAGCCUCAGGUAACAUCAAAUCGUACCCCAAACCGACACAGGUGGUCAGGUAGAGAAUACCAAGGCGCUUGAGAGAACUCGGGUGAAGGAACUAGGCAAAAUGGUGCCGUAACUUCGGGAGAAGGCACGCUGACACGUAGGUGAAGUGGUUUACCCAUGGAGCUGAAGUCAGUCGAAGAUACCAGCUGGCUGCAACUGUUUAUUAAAAACACAGCACUGUGCAAACACGAAAGUGGACGUAUACGGUGUGACGCCUGCCCGGUGCCGGAAGGUUAAUUGAUGGGGUCAGCGCAAGCGAAGCUCCUGAUCGAAGCCCCGGUAAACGGCGGCCGUAACUAUAACGGUCCUAAGGUAGCGAAAUUCCUUGUCGGGUAAGUUCCGACCUGCACGAAUGGCGUAAUGAUGGCCAGGCUGUCUCCACCCGGGACUCAGUGAAAUUGAACUCGCUGUGAAGAUGCAGUGUACCCGCGGCAAGACGGAAAGACCCCGUGAACCUUUACUAUAGCUUGACACUGAACACUGGUCCUUGAUGUGCAGGAUAGGUGGGAGGCUUUGAAGUGUGGACGCCAGUCUGCAUGGAGCCAUCCUUGAAAUACCACCCUUUAAUGGCUGGUGUUCUAACGUGGGCCCGUGAACCGGGUUGCGGACAGUGUCUGGUGGGUAGUUUGACUGGGGCGGUCUCCUCCUAAAGAGUAACGGAGGAGCACGAAGGUUGGCUAAUCCUGGUCGGACAUCAGGAGGUUAGUGCAAUGGCAUAAGCCAGCUUGACUGCGAGCGUGACGGCGCGAGCAGGUGCGAAAGCAGGUCAUAGUGAUCCGGUGGUUCUGAAUGGAAGGGCCAUCGCUCAACGGAUAAAAGGUACUCCGGGGAUAACAGGCUGAUACCGCCCAAGAGUUCAUAUCGACGGCGGUGUUUGGCACCUCGAUGUCGGCUCAUCACAUCCUGGGGCUGAAGUAGGUCCCAAGGGUAUGGCUGUUCGCCAUUUAAAGUGGUACGCGAGCUGGGUUUAGAACGUCGUGAGACAGUUCGGUCCCUAUCUGCCGUGGGCGCUGGAAGAUUGAGGGGGGCUGCUCCUAGUACGAGAGGACCGGAGUGGACGCAUCACUGGUGUUCGGGUUGUCAUGCCAAUGGCACUGCCCGGUAGCUACAUGCGGAAGAGAUAAGUGCUGAAAGCAUCUAAGCACGAAACUUGCCCCGAGAUGAAUCUUCCCUGAGCCUUUAAGGCUCCUGAAGGAACGUUGAAGACGACGACGUUGAUAGGCCGGGUGUGUAAGCGCAGCGAUGCGUUGAGCUAACCGGUACUAAUGAACCGUGAGGCUUAACCUUACA
rnacentral:rRNA from 1 species